rnacentral:lncRNA from 1 species
CGUCCUGAUUGCAGCUAAUAUUGUCCGGUUCACCCUCUCGGCGGCAUUGCUCUGUGGUGAGUAGACUGCUGUGCGCAGAUGUCGGGUGCCGAAGGUGCUCAUCAUGUCCUGGAAGAUCUUCGACGGGAACUGCUUUCCGUUGUCGGAGUGGAUCACCUCGGGCACCCCAAACUUGUAGAACACUUCCUGUACUAGGAAUUGAACUACGUUCGCAGCGGUCGCCUCUCUCAUCGCUUUUAGAAAGGUGAAUUUAGAGAAGUGAUCUACGACGACAAAAAUCCAAGCUUGUCCCCUUUUCGACCGAGGAUACUUCCUGACCGAUCCCUACCUGGCUUCGAUAAUUGGGUGCUUUGGACUCCUUACAAGCAUCGCAGUUCCGGACAUACUCCCGCACUUGUGUCGUCAUCGCUGGCCAGUAGAAUUGCCUUCUUAGCCGAUGCAAGGUCUUUUUAAGUCCACCGUGUCCAGCUGUGUGGUCUUCGUGGGCCUUGGAGAUGAGAGUUUCCGUCAGAGACGCGGGAAUCCAUAAUUUCCAAAUGGUCC